AGGAAUGUCGUGGGGCAAAUUUGCCAAAGUCCUGUGACGAGUCCUGAAUGCCUUCAUUAGCAGAGUGAAGCAGUUCAUCUCAAUGGCUUUGGAUGCUGGUGCCCUGGCUGUGAUGAAGCGGCAAUUUCAGGAAGGGGGUAGUCACUUCCCACUCGUUAUUGGGGUUGUGGAUGGGACACAUGUCGUGAUAGUUGCGCCAAAACAUAAUGAGGAAAUAUAAAGGAACAGGAAAAUGUUCCAUUCUCUGAAUGUCAUGGUUGUUUGUGGCCCAUCCCUCCAGAUCCUGUCCCUGAAUGCUAUGUUUCCGGGAAAUGCGCAUGAUUCACACGUCAUUCGCCAAUCAGGGAUCUGGCAAAGAUUAAGAAUGAUGGAAGGACAGGACAUGUGGCUAUUGGGAGAUCGUGGAUAUCCUUGCACCCCCUGGCUCAUGACUCCUUACAGCAAACCCAGGCCAAGACCACAGUGGCAGUUUAAUUCCGCACUUACUGCCACUAGACAGCUGGUGGAGCGCACGAUUGGAGUUCUUAAAGGGCGGUUCCGUGUGGCGACAUCAUGUAUUCACCAGAAAUGCAUUUUAUCUGCUAUGUUUACAUUCGAAAUCCAAAACCAUCUGACC